UACGUAGGGUGCGAGCGUUAAUCGGAAUUACUGGGCGUAAAGCGUGCGCAGGCGGUUCUCCAAGUCCGUUGUGAAAGCCCCGGGCUCAACCUGGGAAUGGCAGUGGAAACUAGGGGACUGGAAUCAGGCAGAGGGGGGUGGAAUGCCGCGUGUAGCAGUGAAAUGCGUAGAGAUGCGGCGGAACACCGAUGGCGAAGGCAGCCCCCUGGGCUGAGAUUGACGCUCAGGCGCGAAAGCUAGGGGAGCAAACAGG
rnacentral:rRNA from 1 species